rnacentral:rRNA from 1 species
GACAGAGGGUGCAAGCGUUGUCCGGAAUUAUUGGGCGUAAAGCGUCUGUAGGCGGUUUAUUAAGUCCAAUGUCAAAUGGCGGAGCUCAACUUCGUCCCGCAUUGGAUACUGAUAGACUAGAGUACGUUAGGGGUUAGUGGAAUUCCAGGUGUAGUGGUGAAAUACGUAGAUAUCGGGAGGAACUCCAGUGGCGAAAGCGACUAACUGGAGCGUAACUGACGCUGAGAGACGAAAGCGUGGGGAUCAAAAAGG